rnacentral:rRNA from 1 species
GAUGAACGCUGGCGGCGUGCCUAAUACAUGCAAGUCGAGCGAACAGACGAGGAGCUUGCUCCUCUGACGUUAGCGGCGGACGGGUGAGUAACACGUGGAUAACCUACCUAUAAGACUGGGAUAACUUCGGGAAACCGGAGCUAAUACCGGAUAAUAUAUUGAACCGCAUGGUUCAAUAGUGAAAGACGGUUUUGCUGUCACUUAUAGAUGGAUCCGCGCCGCAUUAGCUAGUUGGUAAGGUAACGGCUUACCAAGGCAACGAUGCGCAGCCGACCUGAGAGGGGGAUCGGCAAGACAGGAACGGAGCCACGGUCCACACGCCGAGGGGAGGCAGCAGCAGGGAAGCUUCCGCACAUGGCCAAAGCCUGACGGGGCAACGCCGCGGCAUUGAUGACGGUCUUCGGAUCGUAAAGCGCGGUGAGUAGGGAAGAACGAAUGUGUAUGGAACUAUGCCCGUCUUGACGGUACUUAAUCAGAAGGCCACGGCUUGCUACGUC